rnacentral:rRNA from 1 species
CGGGCACGCUACCGUGCGUCGAUGUCCGGCGCUCGUCGUCGUGCACUUCUCCCCAAGUAGAACGUCGCGACCCGCUGGGUGUCGGUCUACGGCCCGGGUGCGGUGACUGUCGCGUCGCCGGUAAAACGGCACGCGACAAACCCCCGGUCGCCCGGCCGGCUGCUCGGCGGUACGCGCAUGGUAUCAGGCCGCACUAUUUUACGGUGCGUCGAGGCCGUCGCAAGCGCGCGCCACGGUACUCGGAGGUUACGGACUUUGCGCCGUCCCCGGUCCUGGUCCGCUGUUGGUUAAAGUACGGUUCACCUUCGACAGGCCUGCGAACGUCUCUCCCCGGAGAGACCGAUACCGGUCGGCGACGCUACUGCUUUGGGUACUCUUAGGACCCGUCUUGAAACACGGACCAAGGAGUCUAACAUGUACGCGAGUCAUUGGGACUUGUCGCGAGACCUAAAGGCGUAAUGAAAGUGAAGGUCGGCCCUGGCCGUCGACCGAGGGAGGAUGGGCCGCGUCGCGAUGCGGCCUCGCACUCCCGGGGCGUCUCGUUCUCAUCGCGAGAAGAGGCGCACCCAGAGCGUACACGUUGGGACCCGAAAGAUGGUGAACUAUGCCUGGUCAGGACGAUAGUCAG